UCCUUGGUAGUCUAGUGGUUAGGAUACAGCACUCUUAAUGCUAUGGCCUGGGUUCAAUUCCCAGUCAGGGAA